rnacentral:tRNA from 1 species
GCCUGGGUGGCUCAGUCGGUUAAGCGUCCGACUUCGGCUCAGGUCAUGAUCUCACUGUUCGUGGGUUCAAGCCCCAUGUCGGGCU